AGUGAACGCUGGCGGUAGGCCUAACACAUGCAAGUCGAACGGCAGCACAGUAAGAGCUUGCUCUUACGGGUGGCGAGUGGCGGACGGGUGAGGAAUACAUCGGAAUCUACUUUUUCGUGGGGGAUAACGUAGGGAAACUUACGCUAAUACCGCAUACGACCUACGGGUGAAAGCAGGGGAUCUUCGGACCUUGCGCGAUUGAAUGAGCCGAUGUCGGAUUAGAUAGUUGGCGGGGUAAAGGCCCACCAAGGCGACGAUCCGUAGCUGGUCUGAGAGGAUGAUCAGCCACACUGGAACUGAGACACGGCCCAGACUCAUACGGGAGGCAGGAGGGGGGAAUAUUGGACAAUGGGCGCAAGCCUGAUCCAGCCAUACCGCGUGGGUGAAGAAGGCCUUCGGGUUGUAAAGCCCUUUUGUUGGGAAAGAAAAGCAGCAGGUUAAUACCCCGCUGUUCUGACGGUACCCAAAGAAUAAGCACCGGCUAACUUCGU
rnacentral:rRNA from 1 species